rnacentral:tRNA from 1 species
UGAGGCUCAGUGGUAGAGUGCUCACCUGUCAUGUGUGAGACACUGGGUUCAAUCCUCAGCA